rnacentral:rRNA from 1 species
AGCUGGCGGCGUGCUUAACACAUGCAAGUCGAACGAUGAAGCCGGGUGCUUGCACCGGGUGGAUUAGUGGCGAACGGGUGAGUAUCACGUGAGUAACCUGCCCUUGACUCUGGGAUAAGCCUGGGAAACUGGGUCUAAUACCGGAUAUGACCAGUCCUCGCAUGGGGUGCUGGUGGAAAGAUUUUAUCGGUCUUGGAUGGACUCGCGGCCUAUCAGUUUGUUGGUGAGGUAAUGGCUCACCAAGGCGAUGACGGGUAGCCGGCCUGAGAGGGUGACCGGCCACACUGGGACUGAGACACGGCCCAGACUCCUACGGGAGGCAGCAGUGGGGAAUAUUGCACAAUGGGCGCAAGCCUGAUGCAGCGACGCCGCGUGCGGGAUGACGGCCUUCGGGUUGUAAACCGCUUUCAGCAGGGAAGAAGCUUUUUGUGACGGUACCUGCAGAAGAAGCGCCGGCUAACUACGUGCCAGCAGCCGCGGUAAUACGUAGGGCGCGAGCGUUAUCCGGAAUUAUUGGGCGUAAAGGGCUCGCAGGCGGUUUGCCACGUCUGCUGUGAAAGCCCGGGGCUUAACUCCGGGUGUGCAGUGGGUACGGGUAGACUAGAGUGCAGUAGGGGAGACUGGAAUUCCUGGUGUAGCGGUGAAAUGCGCAGAUAUCAGGAAGAACACCGAUGGCGAAGGCAGGUCUCUGGGCUGUUACUGACGCUGAGGAGCGAAAGCAUGGGGAGCGAACAGGAUUAGAUACCCUGG